GGGGGCGAUUGCGGGUUCGACGGCAAGCGAUAAGCUAAGGGUAGCAUGCCGUAGAAGGCCACUACGUAAAAAACCAAGACAAAACAAAGCCCGAGCGUGAGCUCGCUCUCGUAGCUUAAUCGCUACGACGUCCUACCUGACUUGCCCGUAGGUUGGGAUAGGACGCAAGACAUACGGGCUAGAGCCUUUCCAAGUUCUCCUGAGGAAAGGCUUGAAAUCUCACGGAGAUAGCUUUAAGCUUCUUUGCCUGUGGAGGAGUUUAAAGCGAAACCUAAGCACAGGCUAAGCAUGUAGAGACCCUUUAGGCUUGGUCCUUGUCGGACGAGGGUUCGAUUCCCUCCGCCUCCACUU
rnacentral:tmRNA from 1 species